UACGUAGGUGGCAAGCGUUGUCCGGAUUUACUGGGUGUAAAGGGUGCGCAGGCGGACUGGUUAGUCUGGGGUGAAAAUCUCAUCGCUUAACGGUGAAACUGCCUUAGAUACUGCCAGUCUUGAAUCAGCGAGAGGUUCGUGGAAUUCCGAGUGUAGCAGUGAAAUGUGUAGAUAUUCGGAAGAACACCAGUGGCGAAGGCAGCGAACUGGCGCUCGAUUGACGCUCAGGCACGAAAAGCAUGGGGGAUCAAACAGG
rnacentral:rRNA from 1 species